GAGAGAGAGAGAGAGAGAAAUGGGACACCAUCUCCCUGCACAGCCACCUUCAGUGUCCAGUACCCACACAGAUACACAGAUGCAGCCAGUGUGUACUUUCAAUACCAUCCAGACCAGGGAGAGAAAGGGCAGACAUAGACAGGCCAGGAAGCCAAGGAAAACUCUAUGUGGCCCUUUAGAGGACCACAUGCCUCUUGGGGGCAGGGAUGAUAGGAAAUAAUGUUCACAGACAUCCCUUGGAACUGUGUGGUGAUUGUGUGAGACACAGAAUGCCAGCACUGCCCUCGGGUAGGGACCCUAUGAUCAAGACGCGGGGAGGUGGUGGUGGCCUUGAUAUGGGUGUAGUAUGGUGGUCACAGGACAGAAGUGGGAAGGGACAGUGUAGCAUGGCUCCAAGCUUUCUGCAGGGCUGAGGGAGUCAUCUGGUUGGGAGUGGGGUGGGGGUGUCAGUCGUUUGGAGCUGCCAGGAUGAGAAAUGUACCUGGGUGACAGGGACGUGACAAAUGUGUCUUCCAGUUCUGGAAGCCAGAAUCCAGAUUAGACUGGCAUAGGGUUGACUCCUUCUGGGGCACUAGGGGAGCACUUGCUGGAGUAUUGAGAAUCCAGCCGAGAGUCUAGAAGUCUCUGCCUCUAUCGCAAAAAAAGUAUAUCAAUAGGUCAGGGUCCCAAGGAAGAUUGGGAUGUCUGUCACAGGCCACUCAGCACUGGAAUCCUCAGGGAUAGUGACCAUGUCACAGGCUUCAUUCUUGGCAUGAAAGCCUUUUGGCUCAUCAGGAAGCGUCAGAGACACCGAAGUCCAAGGACAGAGCCCAUGGCUGCUCCCAUCAAGUGCCAGGUGGACAGUAAAGAGGCAGAAUGUGAAUAAACAAGUCCACAGAGCCACUGACACGAGAGUGGUGACAGCCGUCCUUUCCAUGAGAGGCCCCUUACCACCCUGGACCCUGGCCAAAAUACCAAUCCAUUCAACUCAUCCAUCAGCCUGACAGGCCCUGAUUCAGUUGCCCCGAUCCUGGAUUGUUCUGACCUGCAGAGGAGAAGCACAUCGGUAGCAGAGGGAGGACUUCAGGAAGGGCUGGAGCACGGUACUGUGUUGACAUAGCAUAUAAGUCACUCAAUGUCGGAGGGGUAACUCCCAUCAUGUGGCAGCUGGGACAGCUGGAUGGAGCAGCCGUAGCAACUGGAUUUGAAAGCAACCUCAGACCUGCAGAGCUCAUAUCUGGUGGAAAGGGACGUAUACUGGUAUAUGUGGACACAGGGAUAGCCAACCUGAAGCUGCAGAGUCAGGAGAGAAGAAGGCAAACAGCAGGGCAGCCCGUUCUGGAUAAGCUGAGGGACCAUAGUCAUGGCACAGAUGUCUAUAAUAUAAUCUGUGAGAGAGCUUGUGACAACACUCACAGCAUGCCCCAAUUUGGACACUAAGCCCCAUGGUCACAGAGAGAGGAAAGACCUUAAGGUGCUCACUGUGACAGGAUGGGUAUCUUCUGGUGUCUCCAUGGGUGUGCACACAUGCAGGAGCGUCUGAAACUGAUGGCAGAGGUAGGGUGGGCCGAGGGGACAGGAAGAUGAGUAUGCGGCAGGGGCAUGGCUGCCUUGCACGAUUGGCCUGAGGCUUUGCUGUGUGAAGUUAGCAAGGUAAUAUUGAUGGGGCCUGGA